rnacentral:rRNA from 1 species
AUUGAACGCUGGCGGCAUGCCUUACACAUGCAAGUCGAACGGUAACGCGGGGCAACCUGGCGACGAGUGGCGAACGGGUGAGUAAUAUAUCGGAACGUGCCCAGUAGUGGGGGAUAGCCCGGCGAAAGCCGGAUUAAUACCGCAUACGACCUAUGGGUGGAAGCGGGGGAUCGCAAGACCUCGCGCUAUUGGAGCGGCCGAUAUCAGAUUAGCUAGUUGGUGGGGUAAAGGCCUACCAAGGCGACGAUCUGUAGCUGGUCUGAGAGGACGACCAGCCACACUGGGACUGAGACACGGCCCAGACUCCUACGGGAGGCAGCAGUGGGGAAUUUUGGACAAUGGGCGCAAGCCUGAUCCAGCCAUGCCGCGUGUGGGAAGAAGGCCUUCGGGUUGUAAACCACUUUUGUCAGGGAAGAACGGUCUGGGUCUAAUAAACCGGACUAAUGACGGUACCUGAAGAAUAAGCACCGGCUAACUACGUGCCAGCAGCCGCGGGUAAU